UACGGGGGGGGCAAGCGUUGUUCGGAAUUACUGGGCGUAAAGGGCUCGUAGGCGGUCAACUAAGUCGGAUGUGAAAUCCCCAGGCUUAACCUGGGAACUGCAUCCGAUACUGGAUGGCUUGAAUCCGGGAGAGGGAUGCAGAAUUCCAGGUGUAGCGGUGAAAUGCGUAGAUAUCUGGAGGAAUACCGGUGGCGAAGGCGGCAUCCUGGACCGGCAUUGACGCUGAUGAGCGAAAGCAAGGGGAGCAAACGGG
rnacentral:rRNA from 1 species